rnacentral:rRNA from 1 species
AGAGCGAACGCUGGCGGCAGGCUUAACACAUGCAAGUCGAGCGGGCGUAGCAAUACGUCAGCGGCAGACGGGUGAGUAACGCGUGGGAACAUACCUUUUGGUUCGGAACAACACAGGGAAACUUGUGCUAAUACCGGAUAAGCCCUUACGGGGAAAGAUUUAUCGCCGAAAGAUUGGCCCGCGUCUGAUUAGCUAGUUGGUGAGGUAACGGCUCACCAAGGCGACGAUCAGUAGCUGGUCUGAGAGGAUGAUCAGCCACAUUGGGACUGAGACACGGCCCAAACUCCUACGGGAGGCAGCAGUGGGGAAUAUUGGACAAUGGGCGCAAGCCUGAUCCAGCCAUGCCGCGUGAGUGAUGAAGGCCCUAGGGUUGUAAAGCUCUUUUGGCGGGGACGAUGAUGGACGGUACCCGCAGAAUAACGCCCCGGCUAACUUCGUGCCAGCAGCCGC